UAACGGCUAAUUAACGGCUAAUUAAGACCGCUGGAAGGGAGCGGAGACCCCUCCCACCGCAUCCAGGACCCCCCAGCGCCCCACAAUCAACCCCUUAAUGAGCCUUAAUGAGCGUUAAUGAUCCCGGCGGUGGGAAAGCGGGGGGAAGAGGAGGGCGAUGCGUCCCUAAGGAAGCCAAUUAACGCUAAUUAGCGCCUAAUUAACGCUGCAGGAUGGGACUGAAGACCCCUCCCACCGCAUCCAGGACCCCACAGUCUCCCAGAAUCGACCCCUCAAUGAGCGUUAAUGAGCGUUAAUGAGCCCGGGGGUGGGAAGGCGGGGGGAAGAAGAGGGUAAGGAGGCGCUAAUGAAGCUAAUUAACGGCUAAUUAACGGCUAAUUAAGACCGCCGGAAGGGAGCGGAGACCCCUCCCACCGCAUCCAGGACCCCACAGCGCCCCACAAUCAACCCCUUAAUGAGCGUUAAUGAGCGUUAAUGAGCCCGCGGGUGGGAAGGCAGGAAUGGGAGGAGGGUGAGGCGGCCCUAUUGAACGUAAUUAACGCUAAUUAGCGCCUAAUUAACGCUUCUGGAAGGGAGCGGAGACCCCUCCCACCGCAUCCAGGACCCCACAGCGUCCCACAAUCAACCCCUUAAUGAGCGUUAAUGAGCGUUAAUGAUCCCGGCGGUGGGAAAGCGGGGGGAAGAGGAGAGCGACGCGUCCGUGAGGAAGCCAAUUAACGCUAAUUAGCACUGACGAGGGGCGCAGGAAGGGAACGGGGAUGCAUCCAGGACCGCACAUCGUCCCACAACCGUUCCUUAAUGAGCGUUAAUGAGCGUUAAUGAGCGUUAAUGAGCACGGGGGUGGGAUGGCAGGAAUGGGAGGGGGGUGAGGCGGCCCUAAUUAACGUAAUUAAGCGCUAAUUAAGACCGAGAAGGGGCGCAGGAAGGGAACGGGGAUGCAUCCAGGAUCCCCCAGCGUCCCACAAACCUCCCCUUAAUGAGCCUUAAUGAGCGUUAAUGAGCCUUAAUGAGCGUUAAUGAGCCCGGGGGUGGGAAGUCAGGAAUGGGAGGAUGGCGACGCGUCCGUAAUGAAGCCAAUUAACGCU
rnacentral:lncRNA from 1 species